GAUGCAAUAGCACAGUGGUCAGUGCACUGGGAUUGUCUCAGAGGUGUGGGUUCGAUUCCCGCUUGUAUCA